CUCCAAGGAAGACCCACGCUGUAGACCUCAGAAAGGUCUUUGCAAUUCCACAGAUCACACCAGCCCUGCUGAAUUUUAAGUAUUUUGUGAUGGGUUUUCAUCAGAGCACAAGAACUCACAGGCUUGGAGAGAAGAUGUGAGCAGCCUUCAGAGGACAGGGAGGUUUCUGUCAAAAACGUGUGAGACUUCGCUGUUUACAAUCUGCAUUUAUAACAUGUCAUAAAAUCCACCUCAGCCCCUCCUCCUGGCCUUCCUCCAUGUCUGGCUGAACGUUAAUGGCGUCCACACAGGAGAGGCCCUGGAAGGACGCACGGCCACCCACAGCAAAGGUGGCCGUGUGUGGGCUCCUUUGAUCUGUAUGAUUGGCAGAUUUUGUGACAGAGGGAGCAAAAAGCAAAUGUCAAGCUGUCAGCUCUGGCCAGAACGAAGCCUUGUGGGGAGCUGGCUGCCGAAGUGGACAUGGGAAGGCUGUGUGUGUAAGUCCAAGCAAGGGUUUGCAGGCUCUGGAGGCGCUGAGUACCUGCUGUCAGGACAGAAAGGAUGCACCAGAUCUCUGGAAGAGGAGAGGAGGGAGCCUGAUGUCCCAGGUGUCCCAGCGUCGUGACAUGACUUCUGGCUGGGAUGUCCCAUUGCUGUCACAGAAAGGAAAAGGUACAAGAGGAAGGAGGAAGAAGCAACUUCCCAAAGCGCCUUCUUCGUCUUCCUCCUCCUUUCCCAGAAUGGCUCUGCUGCUCUCAUACACACCUGGAAGAUGCUGCACACCACCUACCAGUGACUGCCCGCAGGGCACUUCUCCUGUUACUGAGUUAAUGGUGCCCCAGGAGGCAGAUUACAGAGGACAUUUUCUAAGAACGUAUUUCCCAUUCUAUAAGCACUAUUCCUUCUAGCUUUGCUCCUCCCACACAGUCUUAAACACCUCCAAGUUGAAGCACUGUCUGGCAUCUGCGAGGGAAGUGUAUAGUACAGGUUAAUCCCAUAACCCUGCCUAUGGCUGAAAUGGAAGGGCGUCUGGCUCUGCUGGCUCCAUACCGUGUGACGUUUCCCCAGAUGGAUGCUCUGGUGAGCACAAAGGGAGACUCUGAAUAAGCUUAAGUAACAUCAGGUUCUUAUUUCUGUUCUAAAACUGUCAUUUUAUCUCUAGCUUAGAUAAAAUUUAGAAUGCUGCAAGUUCCCUGCAGAGGACUUAAUGUUUCAGUUGCGGCUGUGUUUCCACUGUGGCAUGAAGUCACUCACUAACAGAACAUCAUUGCAGUAAAAACAAAAGUGACCUGCAUUCCUCCAAAAAUUGUAGGGUAUGUGAUACUGUGGCGUUGCCUCUGCAGGCACGAAUUCUGUGUGGGUUGAACACAGGGAUGUAUUCCGUCCAGCUGUAUUUGGGGGAACAUGAAGGGGGAGGAAUAUAAUGCUUUCUUUCUCCAUAUUUGGAAAGAU
rnacentral:lncRNA from 1 species